AGCGUAACACAACCGACCCAGGAGACGCUAGCGUGUGCCCAGGGAAGAGUUCUCUUUUCUUUUUAACAAGCAUAUCCUACCUUGGAAACGGAUUAUCCGGCGAUAAGGAGGAUGCCUUGGCAAAGCACUUUACUUUUUGAAGUGUCCUGCGCGCCCACGACAGCCCUUGAAAAUCCUGGCUAGAGAUUUA
rnacentral:ncRNA from 1 species